UAUAAACUAGGUUUAAAAGAUGUAAUGUUAAUUUGAAACCAAGCUUUGACUUCUAUGAAAAGGCAGGCAACAUUACAAGCUGAUAUUUAAUUUGAAAAU